CUCACCCCGCCUCCCGCUUCCCCGGCGCUAGCCUCCGCCGGCGGAGCCCACUAUGCCAGACACUUUCGACACUUUGCAAAGACAAAGAGCCCUAGACCGGAGGGAGGAGAGAGGAGGAGGCAGAAGAGGAGGUAUAAGAGGACCCGGAGGUGUGAGCUGGCUGGGACUUGACUUUGAUGAACUGAAAAUGCCUUCAAGAAGGAACUGGCACCUGCCGGGGCUGUGCUGAGAACGGAGCAGAGCUGUGCAGCCGGACAUUUGUAUCUGUGAGCCAGAGGCAGACAGUGGCUCAGCCUCCUGAGAUGAAGACACUGGGACUCAGAGAGGAAAGGAACUCCUCUGAUGUGGUGGCACAGCAG